rnacentral:rRNA from 1 species
AGUGAACGCUGGCGGUAGGCCUAAUACAUGCAAGUCGAACGGCAGGACAGUAAGAUUUUGCUUCUACUGGUGGCGAGUGGCGGACGGGUGAGGCAUACAUCGGCUUCCACUUUUACGUGGGUGAUUACGUAGGGCAACUUACGCUAAUACCGCAUACGAUCUACGGCUGAAAGCAGGAGAUCUUCGCACUUUUCGCGUUUGAAUGAGCCGAUGUCGGAUUAGCUAGUUGGCGAGGUAAAGGCCCACCAAGGCGACGAUCCGUAGCUGGUCUGAGAGGAUGAUCGGCCACACUGGAACUGAGACACGGUCCAGACUCCUACGGGAGGCAGCAGUGGGGAAUAUUGGACAAUGGGCGAAAGCCUGAUGCAGCAAUGCCGCGUGAGUGAAGAAGGCCUUCGGGUUGUAAAGCCCUGUUGUUGGGAAAGAAAAGCAGCGGGUGAAAACCCGGCUGUUCUGACGGUACCCAAACAGAAAGCAACGGCUAACUUCGUG